rnacentral:rRNA from 1 species
GUGCAAUUGCGGCGUGCUAUACAUGCAAGUCGAGCGGACGGAUGGGAGCUUGCUCCCUGAAGUCAGCGGCGGACGGGUGAGUAACACGUGGGCAACCUGCCUGUAAGACUGGGAUAACUCCGGGAAACCGGGGCUAAUACCGGAUAACUCUUUUCCUCACAUGAGGAAAAGCUGAAAGAUGGUUUCGGCUAUCACUUACAGAUGGGCCCGCGGCGCAUUAGCUAGUUGGUGAGGUAACGGCUCACCAAGGCCACGAUGCGUAGCCGACCUGAGAGGGUGAUCGGCCACACUGGGACUGAGACACGGCCCAGACUCCUACGGGAGGCAGCAGUAGGGAAUCUUCCGCAAUGGACGAAAGUCUGACGGAGCAACGCCGCGUGAGUGAUGAAGGUUUUCGGAUCGUAAAACUCUGUUGUCAGGGAAGAACAAGUACCGGAGUAACUGCCGGUACCUUGACGGUACCUGACCAGAAAGCCACGGCUAACUACGUGCCAGCAGCCGCGGUAAU